ACAUGAUGUUAUCGUUGACCA
rnacentral:siRNA from 1 species